AGAGUUUGAUCCUGGACUCAGGAUGAACGCUAGCGGCAGGCUUAACACAUGCAAGUCGAGGGUAGAGGAAGCUUGCUUCCUUGAGACCGGCGCACGGGUGCGUAACGCGUAUGCAAUCUACCUUAUACAGGGGGAUAGCCCAGAGAAAUUUGGAUUAAUACCCCAUAGUAUAAUUGAAUGGCAUCAUUUGAUUAUUAAAGUUCCAACGGUAUAAGAUGAGCAUGCGUCCCAUUAGCUAGUUGGUGUGGUAACGGCACACCAAGGCGACGAUGGGUAGGGGUCCUGAGAGGGAGAUCCCCCACACUGGUACUGAGACACGGACCAGACUCCUACGGGAGGCAGCAGUGGGGAAUAUUGGUCAAUGGGCGCAAGCCUGAACCAGCCAUGCCGCGUGCAGGAUGACGGUCCUAUGGAUUGUAAACUGCUUUUGUACAGGAAGAAACACUCCCUCGUGAGGGAGCUUGACGGUACUGUAAGAAUAAGGAUCGGCUAACUCCGUG
rnacentral:rRNA from 1 species